rnacentral:rRNA from 1 species
CCCUUAGAUGUUCUGGGCCGCACGCGCGCUACACUGACGAAUGCAACGAGCUUAUAACCUUGGCCGAAAGGUCUGGGUAAUCUCCAAAUUUCGUCGUGAUGGGGAUAGAUUAUUGCAAUUAUUAAUCUUCAACGAGGAAUGCCUAGUAAGCGCAAGUCAUCAGCUUGCGUUGAUUACGUCCCUGCCCUUUGUACACACCGCCCGUCGCUCCUACCGAUUGAAUGGUCCGGUGAAGCGUUCGGACCGUGGCCUUUGGACGGUUCGCCGUCUGUUGGCUGCGGGAAGUUCGUUAAACCUUAUCAUUUAGCGGAAGGAGAAGUCGUANCA